CCGGGGGCUUGCGCCCCCGGCUAAAUCCAGGCGUCCCUUCGGGACG
rnacentral:sRNA from 1 species